rnacentral:tRNA from 1 species
GCCAGGAUGGCAGAACUUGGUAAAUGCGCAGCCCUGGAAAGGCUGUGUCCUUCGUGGGCGUAAGGGUUCAAAUCCCUUUCCUGGCG